UACGAAGGGUGCAAGCGUUACUCGGAAUUACUGGGCGUAAAGAGCUCGUAGGUGGUUUGUCGCGUUGUUCGUGAAAACUCACAGCUCAACUGUGGGCGUGCGGGCGAUACGGGCAGACUUGAGUACUGCAGGGGAGACUGGAAUUCCUGGUGUAGCGGUGGAAUGCGCAGAUAUCAGGAGGAACACCGGUGGCGAAGGCGGGUCUCUGGGCAGUAACUGACGCUGAGGAGCGAAAGCGUGGGGAGCGAACAGG
rnacentral:rRNA from 1 species